UCCGCUCUGGUCCUUGUCCCGCCGCUCAACAACAAAAAAAAAAGUUUAGAGUUGAGAGGAAGGACGUGGUGAUUGAUCAACUCUACAUAGGGGUUCCAAGUGACUCCGAGGAGGUGUUGUGAGGGGUAGUUGGAUUAUUUUCGGACUUGAGUGCUUGUAUUAUCUAUUCAUU